rnacentral:rRNA from 1 species
GAUGAACGCUGGCGGCGUGCCUAAUACAUGCAAGUCGAGCGAACAGACGAGGAGCUUGCUCCUCUGACGUUAGCGGCGGACGGGUGAGUAACACGUGGAUAACCUACCUAUAAGACUGGGAUAACUUCGGGAAACCGGAGCUAAUACCGGAUAAUAUAUUGAACCGCAUGGUUCAAUAGUGAAAGACGGUUUUGCUGUCACUUAUAGAUGGAUCCGCGCCGCAUUAGCUAGUUGGUAAGGUAACGGCUUACCAAGGCAACGAUGCCUAGCCGACCUGAGAGGGUGAUCGGCCACACUGGAACUGAGACACGGUCCAGACUCCUACGGGAGGCAGCAGUAGGGAAUCUUCCGCAAAGGGCGAAAGCCUGACGGAGCAACGCCGCGUGAGUGAUGAAGGUCUUCGGAUCGUAAAACUCUGUUAUUAGGGAAGAACAAAUGUGUAAGUAACUAUGCACGUCUUGACGGUACCUAAUCAGAAAGCCACGGCUAACUACGUG